GAUGAACGCUGGCGGCGUGCUUAACACAUGCAAGUCGAACGGAAAGGCCCAAGCUUGCUUGGGUACUCGAGUGGCGAACGGGUGAGUAACACGUGGGUGAUCUGCCCUGCACUUCGGGAUAAGCCUGGGAAACUGGGUCUAAUACCGGAUAGGACCACAUUUUGGAUGGUGUGGUGGAAAGUUUUUCGGUGUGGGAUGAGCUCGCGGCCCAUCAGCUUGUUGGUGGGGUAAUGGCCUACCAAGGCGUCGACGGGUAGCCGGCCUGAGAGGGUGUACGGCCACAUUGGGACUGAGAUACGGCCCAGACUCCUACGGGAGGCAGCAGUGGGGAAUAUUGCACAAUGGGCGCAAGCCUGAUGCAGCGACGCCGCGUGGGGGAUGACGGCCUUCGGGUUGUAAACUCCUUUCGCUAGGGACGAAGCGUUAUGUGACGGUACCUGGAGAAGAAGCACCGGCUAACUACGUG
rnacentral:rRNA from 1 species